CUUCUGCACAAAAUUCUAUCAACUUUGACGAGAGAAGAUAUUGAAGACAAUGAAUUGUGGAGCUGGAGAAACGUGUGAAGCAGUAAGGGUAGAAAGCCAGCAAACCAAAUGAUCUCAAGUUCGCUAUUGUAAUGAUGCUGCCUACCAUAACGAUAAGCAUAUGCCAUAAAACUGGGAAAAAAAGUGGUACAAGAUUCAAAUGAGAAAAAAAUCAGGCUUU
rnacentral:lncRNA from 1 species